CUUCAGCCCAUUUUUUAAAAAAAAACCUCAAAACCUCUCAAAAGUUCUCUCUCCUCUCCCCAAAAACCGACCACUUUUCGGUUGCCGGCGCCGCCGUAUGCGGCGGUCGGCGAAGCCCAAAAGCACCCCUUUUAAACGCCCUUUCGUGAGGAGUCUCGUUCUGGAGUUAGAAACACCGGUACAUCAGCAAAUUGGGCCGAAAAGGGGUAAAAACCUUCCGGUUUUCUCUUUCGCCGUUGAUCUAAAACAGGCAAAUCUAACCCUUUUUUGCUUUUAUUUUCGUAAGAUUAUUAAAAAAGAAGUAAACAAAUAAACACAAGAAAAAAAAACCUUAGAAAUCUGAUUGCUUUUUAUUUCUCAUUCGUUUUUUGAAAAGAAAAAAAAACAAAUAAAAUCAAGCCCCCUUAAUUACAGUGAUGAAGUUCGCCCCCCCCCCCGGUCUAGUUUCUUUUACAAUGUUUGGCUUUAUAACCGAAAUAAAUGAAAAAAAAUUCAAUAUUUUGCUCCUAUUUUGUGUUGUCUACUUCUGCUUUUUCUUGUGUGUUUGCAGGUGACUGUGGCAGUGUCAGGCAAAGCAGGUGGCGGAGGGCAGAUGAUCGGACGUGACGUGCGGCGCACAUGGUCCUGGCAUGCGGCGUUGGAGGAGGGACUAGGGUUCUGAAACCCUAGUCUUUGUUGGGUUUGGGCCAUAAUGUUUGGGCCUGUUUUUGUAAAUGGACUAGGUUUUAGUUUGGGCUGAAUUGGGUAGUUGGGUUUGUUGGGCUUAUUGGGCCGGGGUAUAAAAUUGGGCUGUACAACUUGGAAAUAAAAAAAAUUAUAUAAACUUUGAAGUGAUGACGUGGUACAAUUUUAGAGAGUCACAAUCAGUGUUUUAAUAACCGAACAAGUGGUUGAACCGGUUAGAGCGUUGGUUCCCGAUUCAAUCGAUUUGAUCAGUUCAAUUGCUAGACCAAAAAUAACUAAAUAAAUAAUUAAAAAUCAUAAAAAUUUUAAAAAUAAAAAAUAUAUUAAAAUGAUUCAACCUG
rnacentral:lncRNA from 1 species